CUACACUGAAAAAAACGAUUCGUUGUCUGAACAACCAUUACUUAUAAAAGUAAAUAUAUUAAACACAAAAAACUGAGUAUUUAUAACUUUUCAAUGUCUACUUAACAUAUAUAGUUCAUGUAACGCAAAAAUAUAAGUUACAAAGUGAACUUAAAUGUAUGCAUAAAUAAAAUGAAAGAAAGUAAGUCAUGACAACUACUAGUACAAUUAUGUUAAAAUUAAGUAAAUCUAGCAUAAAAUUUUAAGUAUUUGACUGUGAGCCAUGUGAUGUGCUGUUUCCUGCAAAGGAGCCAUUUUGUGAAGCACAUGUGAAGACGGUGAGAAGGGGGGGUGAAGAAACGCAUUUCUGAAACGCAACGUGAUGUAGAUGCUGAAAAGAGACCAGCCCUGUGGAACAACGUAGAGAAGUUGUAAUUCUAUGCUUAAUUGUCUGCCUCUCUGAAAAUCCUGAGAAUCUCAUCAAGCACCAUUAGGAUACUCAUGGGAAUAAGGAGGAACUGGAACUGCUCACACUUAAAAUCAUCAAGAAAGGUGGCUCAACAGAUCCAUUACAGACUGGGAUAGUGCUGGAAGGCAUAGAGGUGAUGACGAGAUUGGCAGGUGUUGCGAAGGCUUGUGUUUUUCUGCUUGGCCUAAUUUAAGCAAUUAAUCUGAGUUACCCCAAAGAGCUCAAUGAACAAUGUUUGUCUGCAACUGUUUGAUUACAUUCUUGUUUUAUUCUUAGGAUGUUUUUUGGGUGUUCCAAAAGUAAAUGUUAGAAAAAUUGUUGCAAAGGGUGAAAAAAAAGUGACCUAUUGUAGACCUAUUGUGUCUUACAAACAAAACAAAAAGAAAAAGAAAAUGCUUUUCUGUACAAAAUUAAAUGCUGGAAUAAUGUAAAUCCUUUGAGAAGUGUUGCAAAGGGUUAAAAAUCAAGGAAUUAACUUGUUAGGAGUGAA
ensembl:lncRNA